UACGUAGGUGGCAAGCGUUGUCCGGAUUUACUGGGCGUAAAGAGCGCGCAGGCGGUUGUGCAAGUCGCGUGUGAAAGCCCCCGGCUCAACUGGGGAGGGUCACGCGAUACUGUUCGACUUGAAGGCAGGAGAGGGAAGUGGAAUUCCCGGUGUAGCGGUGAAAUGCGCAGAUAUCGGGAAGAACACCCGUGGCGAAGGCGGCU
rnacentral:rRNA from 1 species